ensembl:lncRNA
CCCACGGGCCGCGCUCCGGGGCUGCCUCGGCCACCUCGGUCUCGCGGAGGAGGAAACGGAAGCUCAGGCGGCCUCUGGGCCGCUCCGAGCUCCGGGACGGCCGUCGCGCGCUCCGGGUCUGCUGCUCCCCGGAGGCCGUGGAGGGCACAACAAAGCGCCCCCCCCCCCCCCGGGCAGCCUGCUCCGGGGCCCGCUCUUGCAGUCGCCGGUCCGGUUCUGGCUUUGCUUUUUGCUUUGUUUGUUUUUGCUUUUCUGCGGUCCUUAAACUCUGAGAUUUCUCCCGGUUCCGGUUCGAGACCUCCUGGGUUAAGUAAGGUAAUCAGGGCUCGGUUCCAGAUCGGCACUCAGGCCUGAAGCUCUCAAGAGCGUAGUCCGUGAACGACUCUGCACACGGAGUUAAAAUCUCGCAUUAGAAUCUACAAUAGUACCUGCAGAAUUACGAGGAUUAUUACGGGCUUUCUUUGUUGUCUUGAGACGCAGCCCGGUAGUCCUCGGACAUAGACUCUCCUACCUCUUCUGCCAAAAUGGCUCAUGAGUUGAACACAGCUGUUCUGGUGGUCCUUGGCUGGUGGUGAUGUUCUAAGAGACUGUGGACCCUCUGAGACAUGGAGUCCGGCUGCAGAGGCCCCCUCACACCCUUGAGCAAGCAGUCUCCUUACACCCUCUGACGCUGAGCUCCACCUCAUUCUUCCUGGCUGGUGUAGAUGGUACCCUCUCAGCAGGCUUCUUGGAGGCUACCUGUUGCGUUUCAGCUUUUUCUCUGCCUUUUCUUUACCUGGAAGAGACAACAAACUCAUUCCAAGCCACCUGGACUGCAUCAAUAGUCUUGAACAAGGCUCCUGGAACACACUGUGCAGUCAGAGCAGAUUUGUGGUUCCUGAAAAGAAAAUGUCCAG